CGAAGCUUCCUCCUGGGGACGGUCGCUCUCCCAACUCCUCCUCUGCUUCAAACCUACAGUUCUCCUUUUCUCCUCUUGUUCUUGCUGGAGCGGAGAAUUUUAUUACAAUGAGAAGUAAAACGCGCGACCUUUUCGCUUGCUGUCUUUCUCACGCUCGACAGUUUGGCCGGUUGGUGUUUCCCCUUCUAUAUCUUUCGUCGCCCACUUCGCUCCACUCAUUCCGUCGCCUCUCCUCCUUCACGCGGAGAACUUGAUGUUGGAUUUAGUGAAGAUCAUUGUUGGAGUGGAGGGAUCCCGAGUCGCUCUGCGGAUCGAGAUCCCUUCCCGUCGGUUUUUCAGUUUUAGUAGACAGUGAAGGAGGGAGAGAGGAAAGAUUUUUGAUGGGAUCUGAAAGGGAAGAGUUGGAAAUUGAGAUGGAGACUCUUGUCAGUUCAUCACAGUCUAUAAAGGAGACACCCACCGUAGAGAUACCUCAUAAUAUAUCACAUUCAAAUGUUGCUAGAUCAUGGACCUUUUCAAGAAUACUUGAACAGCUAUGGAAAAGUACAAAAGUUGUUAUAUUCACAGUGAAGAUCAAUAUGUUGCUACCAUUUGGACCCAUGUCAAUCAUUCUCCAUUAUCUUACUAAAAUUCAUGUCCUGGUUUUUUUCUUCAGUUUGAUAGGUAUAACUCCAUUAGCUGAACGGUUGGGCUAUGCAACUGAACAGCUUGCAUUCUACACUGGACCCACAGUUGGGGGCCUUCUAAAUGCUACAUUUGGAAAUGCAACAGAGAUGAUAAUAGCGAUUUAUGCAUUGAAAAAGGGAAUGAUUCGUGUAGUCCAGCAAUCAUUGCUAGGCUCUAUAUUAUCAAAUAUUCUUUUAGUUCUUGGUUGUGCUUUCUUCACUGGCGGGAUCAUUCAUUCCAAGAAAGAUCAAGUCUUCAACAAGGCAGCUGCAGUCGUCAAUUCAGGAUUGCUGCUGAUGGCCGUCAUGGGUCUAACAUUUCCAGCUGUUCUUCACUUUACACACUCAGAGGUGCAAUAUGGAAAGUCAGAAGUUUUUCUUUCAAGGUUUAGCAGUUGUGUGAUGCUUGUAGCUUAUGCUAGCUACCUUGUUUUUCAACUGAAGAGCUGCCACAAUCUUUACAAUCCAAUUGAUGAAGAAGAGGGGCGGAACAAGGAUGAUUCUGAUGCAGUGGAAGUUCCAGAGUUAGGCCAAUGGGAAGCAAUCUCAUGGCUUGCUGUUUUGACCAUUUGGAUUUCUGUUCUUUCUGAAUACCUUGUUAAUGCCAUAGAGGGAGCAUCCACCUCGUUGAACUUGCCAAUGGCUUUUAUUAGUGUUGUUUUGCUUCCUAUUGUUGGCAAUGCUGCUGAGCAUGCAAGUGCAAUUAUGUUUGCUGUUAAGGAUAAACUGGACAUAACGCUGGGGGUUGCAAUUGGAUCAUCUACCCAGAUAUCAAUGUUUGUGAUUCCAUCCUGUGUGGUUGUUGGUUGGAUAAUGGGAAAACACAUGGACUUGAAUUUUCAACUAUUUGAGACCGCUGUUCUCUUCAUAACUGUACUGGUUGUGGCAUUUAUGCUACAGGAUGGUACUGCAAACUAUUUCAAGGGGCUAAUGCUUAUUCUAUGUUAUUUAAUUGUUGCUGCCAGUUUCUUUGUGCAUGUUGAUCCUGCAGACGGUAACGUUUAAUGGCUGAAAUGCCAAUUAGCCUUCCAUGGCAUCAAAACAGUAAGAUGAGUUCCGACUAGCGUGCAAUGCAGCAUGUUUUCCAUAAGGGAGUUGAUGGCAUGAUGGAAUUGUAAAAGCUAUGUUAUAGCAAUGCAAGUGGAGAGGUGGAAGCGUUUGUAGUCUAUCAUUUGAUUUGAUUUUUUCUUGAUGGGGCCUCAGUUCUCGGCCACGGAAAACAGCCUCCAUUAGAUUAGAUCUUGGCUCUUUUCGCGAUGAAUUCUAUAGAAUGCAAUAUGGUGCAUGGCACUCCAACGUGUAGACAGGAUUUGUCAAAUUAGAAUUCGUUAACAAGCUUGCAUUCAUGAUGGAUGCGAUUUUAAGGAUGUGAUGGUGGAGUGGAGGUAUGGUUUUGAUAGCAUCAUUUAGUGGGAAAACAUUUUGAAAAUUGAAGGCCAGAUUCAUAAUUUUCCAAACGUAUAUGGGGGUGUAUCUGCAACUUGGAUUUGUGGUGUCUUAUAUUGAAAAUACCAGCAUGGCUCGUAACUUAUAAUUAUUAUAUUAUAAAUGAAAUUUUUGUAUUUAAUGCAAAUUGGAUAUUGGCUGUAGAAUUUAAUAUUGGUGGAUAUUUGGUUAGGAUACUAUCUUUCAGGAUCUUUUUGAUACCGUGCGUUAUAGCAGGAAGAAAGAAAAAUAAAAUAGAAAUAAUCAAAUGUGUGGAUCAGCCAAAAAAUGGUUCGUCUUCACGGGGCGUGCAAAUUUCAUUAUGAGAAAAGAAAAAAAAAUAUGAGAGGAGAUUACAUCUUCUAUCUUUGUACACUCAAUCUCUCGCUCAUAGAAAUCUCUCUUACAGAAGUUUUCUCUUUAGGAAGAUCUCCUGAAUUUUUGAAGCGAUCGCUGUUCGCUGUCUAGAAGUUCUGCUCCUUUCUUCGUCGCCUCUGUUCUCAGGUAUUCUGUCGAAUGAAACCACCAUGCACUGUUCUUUGUUCACGGAUCAGGCUUUUUAUAGCCUUAAAACCUUAAAACAGUAUCCCAAAAAUUAUCCAGAACCGUCAGAUCGUGAUCGGUAGCUCUCAGGGCCAUCCGAUUGUGACGUGGUUCAUGAAAAAGAGUGUAGACUGUGAGAAAUGGGAAGUGAAACGUAUUCGGUCCACGGUGGACCAUGAGAAAUCGAGGGGAAAUGGUCUCGCGGUCCACGCGCCCGUCCAUAGAUCGC